rnacentral:rRNA from 1 species
CGGACGGGUGAGUAAUGCCUAGGAAUCUGCCUGGUAGUGGGGGACAACGUUUCGAAAGGAACGCUAAUACCGCAUACGUCCUACGGGAGAAAGCAGGGGACCUUCGGGCCUUGCGCUAUCAGAUGAGCCUAGGUCGGAUUAGCUAGUUGGUGAGGUAAUGGCUCACCAAGGCGACGAUCCGUAACUGGUCUGAGAGGAUGAUCAGUCACACUGGAACUGAGACACGGUCCAGACUCCUACGGGAGGCAGCAGAA